GUCAAACAGCGGCGCUCUGGAUCUGUUAAAUCUGCUGACAACUUAUCAAAAGAAGCACCUGGUGGAAUUCUUGCCUUACCACGAGUGUGAUGCUCCAUCAAGACAAGCUCCAGAUCUGGACUGUUUGGUGAAGUUACAGGCUCAGCACACACAGCUCAGACACGUCAUCUUCCUCACAGAUAAGUCCUUUGAUGUGACCAAGUUCUCUAGUAAUGGGAUCAUCACAACUAGCUUGAAUGACAUCAUGAGAGACUUCGAGAGCCUGAUAUGCAGGACUCAAGCUGAAGACUCACUGCCCAUUGUUCCGGCUCCAGGUAACCGCCACGCGUAUCACCUUUUCUCUGGAACCCCCUCCAACAUUCACACUUCAGAUUAGAGUUGCGCACAGAGCCAGAUUCGUGCAUGGAUGAGGAGGACAUGUCCCUAGACUCGGAUGAGGAUGCAACCAUGCAAGCGGAGGACAGGGCAGUGGAGAAGCAGGCCACUCUACCUCUUCAACCUGUGAGCGAGGACAUUCUGCCCCCUCUCUCUGACCCACAUAAAACAGUCCCUCUGUCCUCUUGUUCUGUGGAUUACAAUGUUCUCAAGGCGGCCAUCUCACAGUAUAAAGCUACUAAGCAGGCUGGAACAUCCAUGCCUGGGGGGGAGGACAACUUGGUUGGUUUUGGUGUGAACCCCCACCAGAGCUACUUGUACCCCAACUCAGCACAGUGGAGCCCCUAUUCCGGUUCUCCAGGCUAUCACAUGAGCUCUACCUAUUCUUCACCUGCAUGCUCAACUUUGCAAGGACAGGAGUACAGCCAAGUGAGCAGCAUGAGUGUAACCCCUGCCAGCACUGUCCCCCUGUCCCAAACUGCUAAUCAGGCUAACCCCAACUCUUCUUGUGUGAACCCACCUGCUAACACUGCUCCCCCGGGCCUGUCCCAAACCUCCUGCAGGGAGGACAUAGUUCCGGAUGGGCUGUCCUGCUCUCAACCCUUGCCUCAGGCUCAAACUCAGUCUCUUGAUGACAGUCAGCCAUUUUUGCCUGGCUCUCAAGAUACACAGACUAAAGCCAUGGAACCUCCUGUCCUCGCUUCCUCUUCUUCCUCCUCUAUACCUUGCACUAUGCCCAGCUACCCAGAUGGUCCUGUAUUCCCUGGGCCCAUACCCACACCCCCUGUGCCACCCAUGUAUAACUGGGCACCUCCAACAAGGGCACAGAAUAGCUAUGCUUCGGGGGGGAACACAGCACCUUUUGGGAAGAAUGAAGGUGCAGCAUCAACUGAAGGAUUAUGCAUAGGGCCUGGCGAGGGUUUGACUCUUAAUAAUAAAGUUGAUGGAAGUACGUCUGGCACACCGCCUUCCUCAUUACAGUACCAGGAUGGAGGGACUGAGAAAAGCAACACAUCGGGCAGUGUAAUGCCCUGCAGUCAGGGGAGUAGGACAUCAGUAGACUCUUGCACAGAGAGCCACAGAGGUGGCAUGACACAUGCCCGAGGCAUGACACAUGUCCGAGGCAUGUCUGGAGGGGGCAUGCCUUGCAACCCCAGAGGGCUCCUACCCCGGCCUGGAGUCACGAUGCGUCCUGCAUGCCGAGGAGGGCCACACGGGCCGAUCCCACACAGUGGGAACCGCAUGUUUGGCCCCCGAGGGCCCAUUCCAGGGCUUAUGGACAUCAGACGUGGAGGCUUCAGAGGUAGAGGAAUGCCCCCCAUGCCCAUGAGGUCCAGACCGGGCAGAGGGUCAAUGUGGGGAGGAACGCACUGUAACCGGGGCUAUGGUCCUCCAAAGGAUUACUACUCAGACUACACUUACUAAAAGGUUGGGAGCAGUCAGUACUUACAGACUACUGCCAUACAGAAUGUAUAUAGUCAACAUGAAGAGCACAUUUAAAUUUAAGGAAAAAAAGAGAAAGAAUUGGUUUUGUACCAUUAGAUCAACAAAUCAGACUGCGACCAGGAUUGUGUAACUCAAAAAUGCUCUUCUUUAAUGAGUUGUUUGAAACCUUGUUCAGACCACUAUAUUUAUAUCGCCAAGAAAUGUAAUUGCC
ensembl:lncRNA